GGGCUCGGGCGGGGCUCCGGCCAAUGCGGGGCGUGCCCGGCGCGGCGCGCGCGGCGGCUGCAGGGGGACGUGAGGCCCGUGAGAUUUCUCAGUGCCAAGAGCUGGAAGGACAAGCUGUGUGCUCUUUUUUCUUCACAUAUUAGCAAGACCUACUGGGAUAGGAGACUGGAAGAGGAAGAAUCACAAAUCAGUGCUUCCCUGGGCUCUUUCCAAAUGAACCAGCUGAGGAAGCACAAGGACACAGAGGGACAGGAGUCAAGGGGAAGAAGGAACUGUUUUAAAUUGUACAUGUAGCCAACAGAUGUCACUGGAACCACAAUCCCAGAACAGAUUCUGCAGCAGCAAGAGGAUGCUUUCUCUCACUGGAACACCCGAGCCAGACAUUUCUCCACCGGCGAUAUUGCUUGGGCCACGGCUGCUGCCUGCUCGCCUCUUCUGAAAAGAAAUAUUUGCAAGGCUCCUCCUCGCUGUCCGAAUUGUUCAUGAACGUGAUCAUCGCCGCUUCCCAAGGGAGCGCUCAGGAGGGCACGGCCAAGCAACACCCAAGGCUGUGGGGACAAACAGAGCAGAGGGGAAGAAAACACUGAGCCCCACUGUAAAUAACUGAAAGUCUGAAGAGGAUUCAGCAGGUUUCAGCAGGGAGGCUCCAGCACACCAUGCAGCUCCAUCUCCUCCCACCAGCAGGUUUAUCCUGCCCUCACCCAGGCAUGACAAUCCCUUCAGUUCAAGUCAUGGGACCGCUGCAGGCACGGAUAUCAGCACAAUGCACCACUAAAGAAACUUGCUUUUUCUUUACCACAGCUUUCACACUUGCUGCCUCUAUUUCCCCUCUCCCAUCAGUACACCUUACCUUCCACAAAGGAGGUUUCUCAGUGCUCAGUGUUUGUUUGGCAGGGGCAGACACAGAUUCACCUCACACCCUGGCUGCCUGUCAAAAAGCUCAGCUCUUACACAACACUCCCAGGAGCAUCAGCAAGGAGCAGAAGUUUCUCAGUAACCUGGAGCCUCAGCUAAUCAGGAGCUACAUGCUGUCUUAUGACUGUUUAUUAACCAGAAUAAUUUUAUUAGCAGUGCUUCUCUUUGCUGAUGAAGAGGUUUGCAUAGCAAGGGAAACACCUGUCUCCUUUUAGGAGAGCCACUUCUGGGUUUUUCCUUAUGUU